GAUGAAGAACGCAGUGAAAUGCGAUACUUGGUGUGAAUUGCAGAAUCCCGUGAACCAUCGAGUCUUUGAACGCAAGUUGCGCCCGAAGCCAUCAGGUUGAGGGCACGUCUGCCUGGGCGUCACAUAUCGUUGCCCAAUGCCUAUUGCAGUGCAAUAGGAAUUUCUAGGGCGAAUGAUGGCUUCCCGUGAGCGUUGUUGCCUCGCGGUUGGUUGAAAAUCGAGUCCUUGGUAGGGUGUGCCAUGGUAGAUGGUGGUCGAGUUAGAACGAUACCGAUCAUGUGCAUGCUCCCCAAAAUAUGGCCUCUAUGACCCACAUGCGUCUUUUGACGCUCAUGACGAGACCUCAGGUCAGGCGGGGCUACCCGCUGAAUUUAAGCAUAUCAAUAAGCGGAGGA
rnacentral:misc_RNA from 1 species